rnacentral:lncRNA from 1 species
CUCAGCUGUCACUCUCUUCUGUCACUUGUUGUGUUUCUGCAGAAGACCCACACAGCCUCUAGGAGGAAGGGGACCAUUCACUGGUCGUGGAGGCUCCCACACAGGCUGGGACCCAAAUGCAGCUUAGAAACUCAUGGAUUCUUACGAUUUCAUUGCUCUUCACCUCACCCCAUGUCACCGGUGAAGACAGCCUGGUACAAGAUACAAGACUAGCAUUGGAAGGCAUACCAUUCCAGGUGGUGCUGGAGUUUGAAAGAAGGUACAUACGCUUUCCCCUUUAUAUUAUUAUUUUCAGUAUUAUUUAUUUACUCUUUAUUAUCUUAUGAUUUAUUCUUAUGUUAUUAUUAUUUUUUAAGUGUGUCGAAAGCGGAGUCGUAAGCUGAUAGAUGAUCUAGCACAGUUUGCUUUGCUAGAAGCCACCAUCUGGGGGGAAGCCUGCUCUCUGUGGUGGAGACAAGCUCCUUAUCUCAUCAAGGUGUGACUUUCAACACGUGUGUCUGUUGGGUUGUUUAUCCUUUCCUAGCACGCUUUUUAGAACUCUGUACAUUGCAGAUUUCAACACUUUAUUGGCCGUGUUGGUGACAGUGUUUUUC